CUGGCUUUAUUUUCAAAUACGGGACCAACUCUAUCUUUGCUAAAAGAAUCUAUUUGGGGAAUCGACAGAACGUGCUCAAGCUUUUGAAGCAGACCCAAGAAAUUAAGUUACUUCACUGUUGAAUGAACUGAAGAAAAAGAAGAACUCUGACAAGAGGAAUUCUGGCAGAGAGGACUACAAAACAUCUAACAACCAACACCCUCCACACACCACCUUUAAGCACACC